rnacentral:rRNA from 1 species
GAGCCGAGCGGCGAACGGGUGAGUAACGCGUAAGCAAUCUGCCCCCACAAUCGGGAACAACCGUGCCAACGCGCGGCUAAUGCCGGAGUAUUGUGUCCUACUGCAUAGGUAGGUUAACGAAAGUAUUUAUCGUUGUGGGAUGAGCUUGCGUCCGAUUAGCUAGUUGGCGGGGUAAUAGCCCACCAAGGCGACGAUCGGUAGCCGGCCCGAGAGGGUGAUUGGCCACAUUGGGACUGAGAUACGGCCCAGACUCCUACGGGAGGCAGCAGUAGGGAAGUAUUGCGCAAUGGGGGGAACCCUGACGCAGCCAACGCCACGUGUGGGAAGAAGCAUUUCGGUGUGUAAACCACUGUCGGAAAGGAAUAACGGAAGACUUCGGUCUUUAUGAAUGUACUUUUAGAGGAAGCACCGGCAACUUCGUGCCAGCAGCCGC